rnacentral:rRNA from 1 species
UACGUAGGGUGCGAGCGUUAAUCGGAAUUACUGGGCGUAAAGCGUGCGCAGGCGGUUCGUUGUGUCGGCGGUGAAAGCCCCGGGCUUAACCUGGGAAUGGCCGUUGAAACUGGCGAACUGGAGUGUGGCAGAGGGGGGUGGAAUUCCGCGUGUAGCAGUGAAAUGCGUAGAGAUGCGGCGGAACACCGGAUGGCGAAGGCAGCCCCCUGGGCUGAGAUUGACGCUCAGGCACGAAAGCGUGGGGAGCAAACAGG